rnacentral:rRNA from 1 species
GUUGAAGGUGAGGUAACACUCACUGGAGGACCGAACCCGUGAAUGUUGAAAAAAUUCUGGGAUGACUUGUGGAUAGGGGUGAAAGGCCAAUCAAAACCUGGACAUAGCUGGUUCUCCGCGAAAUCUAUUUAGGUAGAGCGUCGGAUGUAUUCCUUGGGGGGUAGAGCACUGGAUGGAUGCGGGCUGCGCGAGUGGUACCAAUUCUAACCAAACUCCGAAUACCCAAGAGAACUGUCCGGCAGACACACGGCGGGUGCUAACGUCCGUCGUGAAGAGGGAAACAACCCUAACCUACAUCUAAGGCCCCCAAGUAAUGGCUAAGUGGGAAACGAUGUGGGAUUGCUUUGACAACCAGGAUGUUGGCUUAGAAGCAGCCAUCAUUUAAAGAAAGCGUAACAGCUCACUGGUCAAGCGAUCCUGCGCGGAAAAAUGUAACGGGGCUUAAGCCAUUCGCCGAAGAUUAGGGCUCAGUAAUGAGCGGUAGCGGAGCGUUCUGUAAGCCUGUGAAGGUCAGUCGUGAGACUGGCUGGAGGUAUC